GAGUGUGUUCGAGAGCGUGUGUGUGUGUGUGUGUUUGUGUGUGUGUGUGCCUGCCUGAUUUAGUGUCAUAUAUCCAAGCCAAGAGCAAACAAAUAAGAUUCUCUUAUGGCUAGAGUAUGCUUCCAUAA